AGCUUUAUGCAAUGGUCGUUUCUAGCCUCUGAGGUUCAGCUGAGGCAUGGUUAUUGCUAUUUGAAAACUUUUCCCAAUAUCCCAUCUUGAGAGCUUGAAUUACAGCUGUAAUGGGUAAUUUCUGGCAGCCUUUGUAGAAG
ensembl:snRNA U4 U4 spliceosomal RNA